GCGGGUGUGGUGUACGGUGCACAGCCGCUCCCGCUUUUAGAAAAACCGAGGAUGCUUCAGUGGCAGACCCGGGUUCGACUCCCGGCGCCCGCG